GACGAACGCUGGCGGCGUGCCUAAUACAUGCAAGUCAACUGAAGCAAUUGUAGCAAUACGGUUGUGGAGGUGGCGCACGGGUGAGUAACACGUAGGUAACCUGCCUUCAGGUCUUACAUAACCCCGAGAAAUCGGGGCUAAUAGAAGAUUAUGCAGCGGCUCGGCAUCGAGACAGUUGUUAAAGCUACCGAGCAAUCGGUAAGCGCCUGGAGAUGGGCCUGCGUCCCAUUAGGUAGUUGGCGGGGUAACGGCCCACCAAGCCUUCGAUGGGUAGCUGGUCUGAGAGGAUGAUCAGCCACACUGGAACUGAGAUACGGUCCAGACUCCUACGGGAGGCUG
rnacentral:rRNA from 1 species